GAAGAACUUGGAAUCUAGUGUUCGCGGGC
rnacentral:piRNA from 1 species